rnacentral:lncRNA from 1 species
AGAGAUUAGAGAAGAUGAAAAAAAGAACAUAAGAGAUGCGGGAUUGGGAAGAAAGAUGCAAUAAAAACGUAAUUGAAAGAGAAAAUAGUAACAUAAAAGAUAAAAAAAGAAAGAACAUAAGAGAGGAAAUAUUAGAGUAGAAACGGUGAAAUGUUCAUAGUAAAGAAGAUGAGAAGAAUCCGCGAUACUACUAGGAGAGAUUUAAGAAGGUUGAAAUUGAAACCCUAAGUGUGAGUAAGAUAAAAUUGUUUUUAAUUGUAAGGUUAAGGCAUACUAAGUUUGAGUUUUGGGUUGGAUGUGGUAUAAUUGAAGUUUGGAUUGUAACAUAAAGCGGUUUGGUUUGAUUUAGUUUGGUUUGAAAAAUACAAACCGCAAACCAAACCAAACCAUGC